ACGCUCGACACCUACGGGGCAGCAGUGGGGAAUAUUGCACAAUGGGGGAAACCCUGAUGCAGCGACGCCGCGUGAGCGAAGAAGUAUUUCGGUAUGUAAAGCUCUAUCAGCAGGGAAGAAACUGACGGUACCUGACUAAGAAGCACCGGCUAAAUACGUGCCCGCAGCCGCGGUAAUCUGAGCGGGCUGGCAAGGC
rnacentral:rRNA from 1 species